rnacentral:rRNA from 1 species
AUUGAACGCUGGCGACAGGCCUAACACAUGCAAGUCGAGCGGAUGAAGGGAGCUUGCUCCUGGAUUCAGCGGCGGACGGGUGAGUAAUGCCUAGGAAUCUGCCUGGUAGUGGGGGAUAACGUCCGGAAACGGGCGCUAAUACCGCAUACGUCCUGAGGGAGAAAGUGGGGGAUCUUCGGACCUCACGCUAUCAGAUGAGCCUAGGUCGGAUUAGCUAGUUGGUGGGGUAAAGGCCUACCAAGGCGACGAUCCGUAACUGGUCUGAGAGGAUGAUCAGUCACACUGGAACUGAGACACGGUCCAGACUCCUACGGGAGGCAGCAGUGGGGAAUAUUGGACAAUGGGCGAAAGCCUGAUCCAGCCAUGCCGCGUGUGUGAAGAAGGUCUUCGGAUUGUAAAGCACUUUAAGUUGGGAGGAAGGGCAGUAAGUUAAUACCUGGCUGUUUUGACGUUACCAACAGAAUAAGCACCGGCUAACUUCGUG